rnacentral:rRNA from 1 species
UACGAGUGGUGCUAGCGUUAUUCGGAUUUAUUGGGCGUAAAGGGUGCGUAGACGGUGUGAUAAGUCUGUUGUUAAAUUUCUCGGCUUAACCGAGGACCUGCGAUGGAAACUAUCACGCUAGAGGAUGGAAGAGAGAAGUGGAAUUCUUGGAGUAGCGGUAAAAUGCGUAGAUCUCAAGAGGAACACCGAUGGCGAAGGCAGCUUCUUGGUC